CACCGAGGUAGAGGUCGCAUCAUUCAUUAAUCCUGUUGAGUAAGCAAAUAUUAGGACGCAGGCCUAGGGAAUGAUGCCGAAAUGGAUCACGUGUUUGCUCACGGAUUUGUUGGGACGCACGGGAAAUACCUGGCGGACUGUCUUAGCUUUUGCUAAGUUGCGCUAUGUUUUGU
rnacentral:ncRNA from 2 species